AACAACCGUUUUCCGAGGAUGACGAAAAAUCGCAAUAUUGGGCUUUAAGUGGCGUUGCCGGUAUGCUGGCGUUUAGUGCGGCUAUGGCUCGUCGGGUGAGGGGUGGUUCUUGCCACUUGAAGACCUUUUCGGUUGAACACAAAAAAUAUAUCAUACCGGGCUUGCACGAAUAUCUGAAAAGGGGAAUAUUAUAAGAAGCCUGAAACAUGCCUAAAAAUACAAAGAAAACUACACUUGCUUACCAAAAACUCAAUCUUAAACUCACUUUAACCCAAUUCUUUCCUCCGGAAACAGCUCUCUUGGCGGCUGUCCGACCAAGAGAUAGCCCUCCCACCGAGAACACCUCUCGCCAUGACGUCGCCACUCCCUGACGUCCCAAAUUUGUCCCUUCACUUACCUCCGUUUAAACCAUCCCUACCACCUUCUUAAUGGCCUUAAGCCAACGACAUCAUCUUCAUUGGAAGUAUACAAUUUUAUUACACCUAUUGUACAUUACAUAUUGAUUUAUAUUAUCAAUCAAUGAAAAGAAGCAGGAAACGUAAUUAUUAAUUCCAUAAAAAAAAUUAAUUCCAACUCUAAGCUCCUUCUCUUUCUUUUUCCUUUUCAGGGUUCGAUGGCGGGUAUCAAGAGUUAGGACCACUGAUGGCAGCUAAUGGACAAGGUUCUUCCCAAGGAGCCAGGACAAACAAAAGGCAGUAAGUCGACACCAAAAAAACAAUCGACGAGAAAAAAGUGGAUACCUAACCUCGAAAUGAGCUCAAUUCAACGAGGGAUCCUGCACUGCAACACUAGGCGAGUAAAUCUUAAAUUAAACUUCUUUUGUUUACCCCUUUUUAUUUAAAAAUUGUACUUUUCUUUUCAGGAAAACCGCGGAAUCUAAUUAUGUCGCCUCGUCUGUCUGUCCGGAGUUUAUAGUGACGUCUAUAGGGAAGAUACCAAGUCACGCUGGUAUAGCAGUGACGGAAAAUCUGCGCCUCCCCCGAUGGAUUGGAUGUGCGAUGGUGUGGCUCUUUACUCCAAAAAUUCUGCCAGGACUUAAUUUUUAAGAUUUUUCUUACUUUUCUUUGUAUUUAUUAAGUUUUGUUUCAAGCUUAAUUCAGUUUCGUUUUGUUUUAAUUUUAAUUCAUUUUCAUUGUGUUUAAACUUAAUUCAGUUUCAAGUCAUUCCUUUUGUUUAAAAUUUUGCCAAACUUUAAGAAGUUUAUUUAGCCUUCGUAUAAAUAUUAAGAAUACUUUCAGGUUUAGUUCUUAAAUGUUCACAUUUUAGCUUUUUAAAUUUUACAUUUUUGGGCUAAGAUUGUUUAAAGCCUUUUUAGCUAAAAAAAACAAGUUUGGAUUUUGUCUUCUUUGCAUGUAUUUUGUUGAACACAUCAAAUUAAUAAAUGUAAUUCCUUUCACUUAUGGAAUUUAUCGCCAAAAAAAUGCCGGGUGUUUUACUUCGCUGGGAGCUGGGAGCCACGCAUCCAAUCUUCUUCGCUGAUGAGAUAAAAAGGAAAGAAUUUUUCUUACCAUUUCUGCCAGGAAAUUCUGGCUGCCAUUUUCCUCGUUUAAUUUUUCCAUUUUCUUUUUAAAUUAUUCCCCCUUAUUGACAUUUAAGUCAUUGGAAUAAUCAGCUGUUCCCUAAUAAUGGUUGACAACAUUCUUCUUCUUCUUCUAGCUAUCAAUUAUUUUCAUGGUUACCCCUUUUUAAGGCGCACCCCACAAAGCCAACUAUCCUGCUGAUAUCCUUAUCGAAGGUUAGGGGGGAAAAGGUGCGACAUUCGAUAUAAAAAUAAAAAAAAAUCAUUGUUUAUGAUACGGCAAUUGAAAAAAAAAAUCGAUGUUUGGCAUCCCUAACAAUCGUGGUUUGGCAUCCCUAAUACUCAUUUUCUGAUUUUCCAAAAUAAAAUUUAAUUUGGAACUGAUUUAUUUAUUACAGUGUAAACGCUCCAUUUUCGUCUAUACGAACCUGGUAUAAAGUUUACGCCAUACGCUACGCGUUAACGUUUAGUCUGACGUAACGUAACUAUCGAUAGUAGUGAUGUUUAUGAAUGAAAACAAUCGGAGUACGAUUGUAUUGUAAAUUUUUGGCGGAUUAGCACGCGGACGGACGGACAAUUUUGGAGCUGCGGAAAUUAUUAAAUUUUUGAUUCUUUUCACGAGUUUAGCCUGAAAGAAAGGUGAGUUGAGCAUGGUGUUUUCUUUUUCCGUAGGGGUACCAUCAACUAGGACCUCAGCUUUGGUCAGAAAGUUGGAUACAUUACUCCAAAUAUACCUAGGUGUGUUUGGUUUUGUCUUCCCGAUUUCAGACUCUAUCUUCAUAAUUCGAUGACUGACAGCUCUGCGACCUUGUGUACAACACUCUUCUGCCUUGUGCCAUGGAUGCGUAUGGGUAUACAAAGGAAGAGUGCACUAAUGGUCAAAGACAGUCAUAAAUUGACUGCUCAGGAAUCGUUAACAUAUUGUUAGAGUCCGUAAAUUUGGGAUGCUUCUAUCGUAAUCCAGCGUAUUCUUUCUGACCUCUGCUGUUGGUGUCUAAGAGAUUGGCCUCCUAUGGAAACCAAGAAAAAUUUUCCAUGAUCUCACAAGACAACCAAAAAGUUGCCCGAAUUGGAUAUCUAAUUCACAAAAGGUAAGUAGAUACGGAAAUGCUGAAAAUU